rnacentral:rRNA from 1 species
CGGACAAACGCUGGCGGCGUGCCUAACACAUGCAAGUCGAACGGAAAUUUAUUAAGUUACUUGGUAAAAUUUUAGUGGCGGACGGGUGAGUAACGCGUGGGUAACCUGCCCCAUAAGACCGGGACAACCCUUGGAAACGAGGGCUAAUACCGGAUAAUCUUAGAACUUGGCAUCAAGAUUUAAGGAAAGGCGGCCUCUGAAGAUGCUGCCGUUUAUGGAUGGACCCGCGUCUGAUUAGCUAGUUGGCAGGGUAAAGGCCUACCAAGGCGACGAUCAGUAGCCGGCCUGAGAGGGUGACCGGCCACACUGGGACUGAGACACGGCCCAGACUCCUACGGGAGGCAGCAGUGGGGAAUCUUCCGCAAUGGACGCAAGUCUGACGGAGCAACGCCGCGUGUAUGAAGAAGGUCUUCGGAUUGUAAAGUACUGUUAUUGGGGAAGAAAGGCAGUAUUGAGAACAUUGAUACUGGAUGACGGUACCCAAGGAGGAAGCCCCGGCUAACUACGUG